AAAAAUUUUCAACGGUGGAUAUCUUGGUUCCCAUUUCGAUGAAGAACGCAGCAAACUGCGAUAAGCAAUGCGAAACGCAGGACUUCGUGAGUCAUCAGAUCUUUGAACGCAACUUGCGC
rnacentral:rRNA from 1 species